AUGAACGCUGGCGGCGUGCUUAACACAUGCAAGUCGAACGAUGAAGCCCAGCUUGCUGGGUGGAUUAGUGGCGAACGAGUGAGUAACACGUGAGUAACCUGCCCUUAACUCUGGGAUAAGCCUGGGAAACUGGGUCUAAUACCGGAUAGGAGCGUCCACCGCAUGGUGGGUGUUGGAAAGAUUUAUCGGUUUUGGAUGGACUCGCGGCCUAUCAGCUUGUUGGGGAGGUAAUGGCUCACCAAGGCGACGACGGGUAGCCGGCCUGAGAGGGUGACCGGCCACACUGGGACUGAGACACGGCCCAGACUCCUACGGGAGGCAGCAGUGGGGAAUAUUGCACAAUGGGCGCAAGCCUGAUGCAGCGACGCCGCGUGAGGGAUGACGGCCUUCGGGUUGUAAACCUCUUUCAGUAGGGAAGAAGCGAAAGUGACGGUACCUGCAGAAGAAGCACCGGCUAACUACGUG
rnacentral:rRNA from 1 species